CUGCAGCCCGAGUGGUGAUCGAUUUUAUUGAGCCUAAAGCGUCCGUAGCCGGACUAGUAAACCCUUGGGUAAAUUGGGCAGCUUAACUGUCCAAAUUCCGAGGGGACUGCUAGUCUUGGGACCGGGAGAGGUCAGAGGUACUCAAGGGGUAGGGGCUAAAUCCUGUAAUCCUUUGGGGACCACCAGUGGCGAAGGCGUCUGACUAGAACGGAUCCGACGGUGAGGGACGAAACCCUGGGGCGCGAACCGGAUUAGAGACCCGAGUAGUCC
rnacentral:rRNA from 1 species